GUCCACGCCGUAAACGAUGGGCACUAGGUGUGGGAGGUGUCGACUCCUUCCGUGCCGUAGCUAACGCAUUAAGUGCCCCGCCUGGGGAGUACGGCCGCAAGGCUAAAACUCAAAGGAAUUGACGGGGGCCCGCACAAGCAGCGGAGCAUGUUGUUUAAUUCGACGCAACGCGAAGAACCUUACCUAGGCUUGACAUGACCUCGUAACUCCUGGAAACAGGAGCCCUCUUCGGAGCGGGGCCACAGGUGGUGCAUUGCUGUCGU
rnacentral:rRNA from 1 species